rnacentral:rRNA from 1 species
GAUGAACGCUGGCGGCGUGCCUAAUACAUGCAAGUCGAGCGAACGGACGAGAAGCUUGCUUCUCUGAUGUUAGCGGCGGACGGGUGAGUAACACGUGGAUAACCUACCUAUAAGACUGGGAUAACUUCGGGAAACCGGAGCUAAUACCGGAUAAUAUUUUGAACCGCAUGGUUCAAAAGUGAAAGACGGUCUUGCUGUCACUUAUAGAUGGAUCCGCGCUGCAUUAGCUAGUUGGUAAGGUAACGGCUUACCAAGGCAACGAUGCAUAGCCGACCUGAGAGGGUGGUCGGCCGCACUGGAACUGAGACACGGUCCAGACUCCUACGGGAGGCAGCAGUAGGGAAUCUUCCGCAAUGGGCGAAAGCCUGACGGAGCAACGCCGCGUGAGUGAUGAAGGUCUUCGGAUCGUAAAACUCUGUUAUUAGGGAAGAACAUAUGUGUAAGUAACUGUGCACAUCUUGACGGUACCUAAUCAGAAAGCCACGGCUAACUACGUG